rnacentral:rRNA from 1 species
GACGAACGCUGGCGGCGUGCCUAAUACAUGCAAGUCGAACGCAGUGGGGACGGGUGAGUAACACGUGGGUAACCUCCCAUCAGAGGGGAUAACACUUGGAAACAGGUGCUAAACCGAUACUGAUAGAUGGACCCGCGGUGCAUUGGCUAGGUGGUGGGGUAACGGCUCACCAAGGCCACGAUGCAUCGCCGACCGGGUAGGGGGAUCGGCCACCCUGGGACGUGGACACGGCCCAGACUCCUAAGGGAGGCAGCAGUAGGGAAUCGGCGGCAAUGGACGAAAGUCUGACCGAGCAACGCCGCGUGAGUGAAGAAGGUGUUCGGAGCGUAAAGCUCUGUUGUUAGAGAAGCGGUAUCUAACCAGAAAGCCACGGCUAACUACGUGCCAGCAGCCGCGGUAAUUC